rnacentral:tRNA from 1 species
CUCGAUCUGGUCGAACUGGCCGUCGCGCAGGAACUGCACGAACUGGUCGAGGUUGGCCAGGAAGGGCGGUUCGCUGCUGCCGAUCGAGAC